UCCCUAGUCGGCAUAGUUUAUGGUUAAGACUACGACGGUAUCUGAUCGUCUUCGAUCCCCUAACUUUCGUUCUUGAUUAAUGAAAACAUCCUUGGCAAAUGCUUUCGCAGUAGUUAGUCUUCAAUAAAUCCAAGGAUUUCACCUCUGACAAUUGAAUACUAAUGCCCCCAACUAUCCCUAUUAAUCAUUACGUCAAUCCUAGAAACCAACAAAAUAGGGUCAACGUCCUAUUUCAUUAUUCCAUGCUAAUGUAUUCAAGCCUAAGCCUGCUUUAAACACUCUAAUUUUUUCAAAGUAACAGUCCUGAUUUCCUGCAACACCAAAUUAAUGACAUUACAGUUCGUCAAGAGGGAGGAAUCAGUGAGAUCAGUACAUACCAGAGGCAUGACCAACCUACUAACCCCGAAAUUCAACCUACGAGCUUUUUAACUGCAACAACUU
rnacentral:rRNA from 1 species